rnacentral:misc_RNA from 1 species
CCUUUUUCACUGAGAAGACUUCCAAUAAAGGGUAUUGCUGAAAAUGUGCGGAAGGUUUUAAUGAUGUAGCAGAUAGAGUAUUCUGCGUAGUUUCAGGCUGUUCAAGCUGUAGGCUUCCACAAUGUUUAUAAAAGUUAGAACAUUCUCGCUAUUGCCUUUUAUUGCAGAUCCUAUUUUGUAACUAUAACACUGUCCUGAGGCUCCCUGUGCUUUGUUGAUUGAAGUGUGCAGUUCUGUGCAUAUAGUGGUAAGAUCUACAGUGGUAUUUUGGCACCAAAAUGAAGUUCCAUUCUGUGAACUUUGGGAAAAAUAUAGUGGUUGAACAGUGAUAGAAUCUGGUAAAAUAGCAGUAUUUGGGCGGG